CCAGGAGCCAGCUCUGGUCACAGGAGGAAGGGUGUGUCUCUGGUGGCUUUGGGAACAUUUUCCUCUUUCUUAAGAAAAGAUGGGAGGAAGAUGAGCUCUCUUCCCUUCCUGUAGACACCGUUUUGCCCAGAUGUGGUGCAGGAUGACCUGAGAUGUGUCACUACCUGCCUGCGGGCGACGGCACAGAAAUGCUGGAAAGGCCUGGGUCUGUCCAUCCUCCGGGCUCCUCCACCUCAACCUAGCUGCCACCACCAGCCAACAAGCUUCCUGCCCCGUGAUACCUGCAGAGGUUGUGUUUCUAUCCUCAGCUGCUGGAAGCCUCCUGAUAGAAAUGCUGGAUCCUGUUUACUAGUGUCCUGUGGAAGAUGUGACAAUGGUCUGUGGUUUUCUUUUCUUCUUUUACCCUUUGAUCAACAAUGGUUUUGUAAUAAGGAGAGGAAGAGGGGUCAAAGGGAAGACAGGAGAACAAGAAAGAAAGAAAGAAGGAGCAAGUUGUAUCAUGUACAAGUACAAAUUCCC
ensembl:lncRNA